rnacentral:rRNA from 1 species
AGCGAACGCUGGCGGCAGGCCUAACACAUGCAAGUCGAACGAACUCUUCGGAGUUAGUGGCGGACGGGUGAGUAACACGUGGGAACGUGCCUUUAGGUUCGGAAUAACUCAGGGAAACUUGUGCUAAUACCGAAUGUGCCCUUCGGGGGAAAGAUUUAUCGCCUUUAGAGCGGCCCGCGUCUGAUUAGCUAGUUGGUGAGGUAAAGGCUCACCAAGGCGACGAUCAGUAGCUGGUCUGAGAGGAUGAUCAGCCACAUUGGGACUGAGACACGGCCCAAACUCCUACGGGAGGCAGCAGUGGGGAAUCUUGCGCAAUGGGCGAAAGCCUGACGCAGCCAUGCCGCGUGAAUGAUGAAGGUCUUAGGAUUGUAAAAUUCUUUCACCGGGGACGAUAAUGACGGUAUCCGGAGAAGAAGCCCCGGCUAACUUCGUG